rnacentral:rRNA from 1 species
GACGAACGCUGGCGGCGUGCCUAAUACAUGCAAGUCGAACGCUUUUUCUUUCACCGGAGCUUGCUCCGGUGGAUUAGUGGCGAACGGGUGAGUAACACGUGAGUAACCUGCCCUUGACUCUGGGAUAACUGCGGGAAACUGUAGCUAAUACCGGAUACGACCCUCGGCGGCAUCGCCAGGGGGUGGAAAGAAUUUCGGUCAAGGAUGGACUCGCGGCCUAUCAGCUAGUUGGUGAGGUAACGGCUCACCAAGGCGACGACGGGUAGCCGGCCUGGGAGGGUGACCGGCGACACUGGGACUGAGACACGGCCCAGGCUCCUACGGGAGGCAGCAGUGGGGAAUAUUGCACAAUGGGCGCAAGCCUGAUGCAGCAACGCCGCGUGAGGGAUGACGGCCUUCGGGUUGUAAACCUCUUUUAGUAGGGAAGAAGCGAAAGUGACGGUACCUGCAGAAAAAGCACCGGCUAACUACGUGCCAGCCGCCGCCGUAA